CGUCACACGCGCUUAUUUUGAAUCUGAUAAUAAAGCCUUUGUAAACCCUUAGGUCUUCAGACCUCUCAAUCCUCUCUAACCCUUAUCCUCACGUCGCCUCUCUCUCAAUCCUCUCUAAACAUUGAAUCUCACAUUCAAAUCUCACAGAUUCACCAAUUUCGAAGCUCUACCUCCACCGCCAUCUGCACCGGCGAGGUAGCGAGAUUCAUCGAUUCACCGAUUUCAUAGAUUCACCGAUUCAAAUCUCACAGAUUCACCGAUUUCAGAUCGAUCUGCAUCGCCACCGCGAUUUCGAUUCAGAUCGGUCUGCACUGCCACCCCGAUUUCGAUUCUCUCUCUAGAUCUCUCUCUCAGAGAUUCAUCUUUGAUUUCAUCUCAGAGCGAUUUUGAUUUCUCUUCUCUCUCAAUUUCAAAGCUCCACCGCCACCACCAUCUAUGCAAGCUUCCAUGGCUUAGCACCUCAUCUUCUUAUCUCUUCUACUUUGUAUAUACAUAUACAUAUAUGUAUAUUUAUCGAUUCUCUCAUGUACAUACACGUAUCUGUAUAGACACCGAUCGAUAAUGGAGCAGAGCUUCUUCGAUUUGAUCUAUUUUCUACACUGCCCAGGCCUCGCCGAGACAUUCCUUGACGCUUUACUCUCCUCAGUCCCGAUUUGGCUCGCUGUCAUGAUCGGCCUUGUUAUCGACUGUUGUUCAUCGAAGUUUUGCAGUAGUAGAUAAUCUUGGUGAAGUUUCUGCAAACGCACAGAUUCAAACAGUGUGCUUCGAUAGCCUUGGUCUUAUGCUUGCGCCUUGAACAUUUUGUUCAGAAACAAUCUAAGGUUUUUACUUUUCAUCUUCAGAUUUUAAAUAAGUUCCAUAGUGCCACUGUUAAUCUUCAUCAAAUUGAUAUUCUAUGAUCGUCCCAGCCUUUUGUGAUAGCUAAGUUGACCAUAUUGUACAUCUUACUGCUGCAAUUCAACAUUGUAGAAUUCUUUUCCCUUGUUUACAUUAUAUUGCAAUAUGUUUAAUAUUGAUUAGUUUGCUAAAAAUUUCUAUUUUAUAUAACCUGUGCUCCCCAUGAAUAUGUGAUUGAAAGGUAUAAAAAAUUUAUGACUUUUUAACUGAUGUGAUGUAUCCAAUUUGCUUAAAUUUGGGUGAGUUUUGAUCUCAAGUUGUAAAAUUUACUCUAAUUUGAGUAAAAGCUUUAUUUGAUACUAGAAGUGGUGUCAUUUUAUUUUAGAAAAAUAAAACUGUAAACUAUAUGAUUGAAUUCAAAUUCUGAAAUCAGAGGGGAACAGAUUUGGAAAAAAAUAAAAAUAAAAAACCUUGAAUUUAGGGCAUAACUAACCACCUAAUUGCUAUAUACGGACACUUUGGGAAAAUCGAAAAAUUGAGACAAACACCAAGUUGAGCCUUCUCUUUAUAAUAGUAUAGAUAGAUAGAUAGAUCGAUAGAUAGAUGAAACACUCCAAUGGACAAAAUCCGGUUGAAGUAUAAAUUUGAGUAAAUCUUCAGUGCUGACAGAGUUGUAUAUUUGGAAGUUACAAAAGGGUCUUGAAAAUUUUGAGUAACAUUUGAGUCUUCCCUUGAUUAGGAUAAAAACAUUGGGUAAAACUCAAAUUGAUAUUAGUUUGAGUGGAGAGGUUUUUUAAGUGAUUUUUAUCCAAAUUUAAAUUUGAUAUAGGUUUUGUGUUAUGAAUUGGAGAUGCCUUAGGUUUCAAGUAUACAAAGUAUUAAACAAGGUUCUUACUCUGUUGUAGGUUCUGAAUCCACUUAGCCCCCAGUUUUACUACAGAUUUGUUUUUUCAAAUUCAUGGGUGUUUGUUUCAAUGAAGAAUUAAACAACACAGAUAAGUCAAUGUCUAAUCCAAUCCCAGCUUGCAUCCACCAUAGCUUUUAAAAGGAUAGAUGCUGGAUCCUUUUUCUUCCAUAAUUUCUCUUGGCAAUAAAUUUCCUUGCUUUAUGGGCUCACAGAAAGUGUUGGGAGUUCAUAGCAAUCUUGAAGU